rnacentral:rRNA from 1 species
UGGAGUCGGGUUGUUUGGGAUCGCAGCCCAAAGCAGGUGGUAAACUUCAUCUAAGACUGAAUAUGACCACGAGUCCGAUAGCGAACAAGUACCGUGAGGGAAAGUUGCAAAGCACUUUGAAGAGAGAGUUAAAAAGGACGUGAAACCGAUGAGGUGGAAACGGACAGAGCCGGCGUAUCUAGCCCGCAUUCAGCCAUUUGCCAUGUGCGAUUGGGUAUCCAUUUCCAGAUUGGGAUGGCGCCUUUUCUGCAUGUGCCAUUGUGGUGCAUUUGCGGGUGGAGUGCGCUGAGCCGGUCGAGCCAGCUACAUGAACCUGAUUUUGAGGCCAGCCCUUCGGGAACUGGUACCCGAGUCGGGGGAAUGCUGUUUGGUUUGGCUGUUCGGGGAAUGGUUAUCGGGCCCAGCUGGGUAUCGAGCUGGAUGUCGGAAGCGGUCGCAUGCGACACGUGCCAGCAGUUAGUUCGGUCCUGGUUGAGCUCUCAACACCCUGUCCUCGGUGUAAAAGCUGGUCAUCUGUCCGACCCGUCUUGAAACACGGACCAAGGAGUUUAGCGUGUGCGCGAGUCGUUGGGUGUUCAAAACUCAAAGGCGCAAUGAAAGUGAAGGUCUCCCUUGCGGAGCUGACGUGUGACCCCUUGACCACUGCGGUGGCACGGAGCAAC